UCUCUUCGGAGUGACAUUUGUGGAACGAGCGGCGGACGGGUGAGUAACACGUGGGCAACCUGCCUGUAAGACUGGGAUAACUCCGGGAAACCGGGGCUAAUACCGGAUAAUACUUUUCUUCGCAUGAAGGAAAGUUGAAAGAUGGCCUUUGGCUAUCACUUACAGAUGGGCCCGCGGCGCAUUAGCUAGUUGGUGAGGUAAGAGCUCACCAAGGCAACGAUGCGUAGCCGACCUGAGAGGGUGAUCGGCCACACUGGGACUGAGACACGGCCCAGACUCCUACGGGAGGCAGCAGUAGGGAAUCUUCCGCAAUGGACGAAAGUCUGACGGAGCAACGCCGCGUGAACGAAGAAGGUUUUCGGAUCGUAAAGUUCUGUUGUUAGGGAAGAACAAGUACCGUUCAAAUAGGGCGGUACCUUGACGGUACCUAUCGAGGAAGCCCCGGCUAACUACGUGCCAGCAGCCGCGGUAAUACGUAGGGGGCAAGCGUUGUCCGGAAUUAUUGGGCGUAAAGCG
rnacentral:rRNA from 2 species